GUCUUAGUAGCAUAGUGGUUAGUGCACAGCCCCAGUUAGGCUGAGACACGAGUUCGAAUCCCGACCGAGAUA
rnacentral:tRNA from 1 species